AUACGGGGGGAGCAAGCGUUGUUCGGAUUCAUUGGGCGUAAAGCGCACGUAGGCGGUUUAUCAAGUUAGGCGUGAAAGCCCUGGGCUCAACCCAGGAACUGCGUUUAAUACUGAUAAGCUAGAGACCGGGAGGGGGUGGCGGAAUUCCCAGUGUAGAGGUGAAAUUCGUAGAUAUUGGGAAGAACACCGGUUGCGAAGGCGGCCACCUGGACCGGAACUGACGCUGAGGUGCGAAAGCGUGGGGAGCAAACAGGAUUAGAAACCCCAGUAGUCC
rnacentral:rRNA from 1 species